rnacentral:rRNA from 1 species
CUACGGGAGGCAGCAGUGGGGAAUAUUGGACAAUGGGCGCAAGCCUGAUCCAGCAAUGCCGCGUGAGUGAUGAAGGCCUUCGGGUUGUAAAGCUCUUUCGCACGCGACGAUGAUGACGGUAGCGUGAGAAGAAGCCCCGGCUAACUUCGUGCCAGCAGCCGCGGUAAUACGAAGGGGGCUAGCGUUGUUCGGAAUUACUGGGCGUAAAGGGCGCGUAGGCGGUACUUCAAGUCAGGCGUGAAAGCCCCGGGCUCAACCUGGGAACCGCCCUUGAGACUGGAGAACUAGAGUUCGGGAGAGGAUGGUGGAAUUCCCAGUGUAGAGGUGAAAUUCGUAGAUAUUGGGAAGAACNCCGAUGGCGAAGGCAGCCAUCUGGACCGACACUGACGCUGAGGCGCGAAAGCGUGGGGAGCAAACAGGAUUAGAUACCCUGGUAGUCCACGCCGUAAACGAUGAGUGCUAGACGUUGGGGUCCUUAGGGCUU